GACAAUAGGCCCCUAAAGUGUUCCCCCUAAGUUGCUUUGAUGUUGUCCUGGUGUCUUGAUACCAGGAGGCCAGGGAUUGCUGGAAAAGGGUCUUUUUUGUCUUCGUUCACUUCCCUCCAGUUUCUGCAAUGAUUCUCCAGAAUCUCUGCUCAUGAAAAAGGACUCAGAUGUGGGACUAACUGGUGUCACUUCGUAUUGACCUAAACAUUCCUGUGUGGUGAGGUGACAGUUCUCCUUCUCUGUAAGCUCCUCCCCGCCCCAAUGUAGAAGACAAAGCAGAGUGGACAUCUUGAAAGGUGAGGGUCACCUUUGGGAAGGCGCUCCGACUCCUCACCCCCAGGAUGAACUCUGCAGUGUCGUGACCCUUGGGGUUUUG
rnacentral:lncRNA from 1 species